UCACAUGACCAUAUCACUUAGUGAUACAGCAGUUCUUGCAGUCUCCAAUUACUGUCAUUAAGAAAAGGAUCCAAGGAUCCAAGGAUCAUUAAGCAAAGACCUCACAUGAUUGAAUUUUGACUUUCUGUCAGCCUCCCCAUUGACUUUCCUUGUGGGCAACUGGCAGGAGUCACAAUCAUGUGACUACAGGAUACUGUGACAGAUGGAAAUGUAGGCUGGCUGCCCAAAUCACAUUUGCAUGUGGGUACUGGAGCUACUGGAACUUUGAUGUCCAAUUAAAAAAUAUACCAGUACAAAAUUUAAAGCAAGAAAAAGCAUUUGGACCGUUAUGUUUGAAGCAUCACAAGAACUUGCAGAAAAAGGACUUACAAAGUUAAAAUGAAAACAACAUACAGAAACAGAAAUUUUGGACUCAUUGUGAUCAUAAGUUGAGGACUACCUGUACAGGAUAUCUGGUAUGUAAAAAGAGAGAAUCUCCAGCCACUAAGGUAACAGUGAAAUCUCAUAAAACCUUACA